UACGGAGGGUGCAAGCGUUAUCCGGAUUUACUGGGUUUAAAGGGUGCGUAGGUGGGUCUGUAAGUCAGUGGUGAAAUCUCCGAGCUUAACUCGGAAACUGCCAUUGAUACUAUAGGUCUUGAAUUAUCUGGAGGUAAGCGGAAUAUGUCAUGUAGCGGUGAAAUGCUUAGAUAUGACAUAGAACACCAAUUGCGAAGGCAGCUUACUACGGAUAUAUUGACACUGAGGCAUGAAAGCGUGGGGAUCAAACAGG
rnacentral:rRNA from 1 species